rnacentral:tRNA from 1 species
GCUCCCGUGGUGUAGUCCGGUCAAUCAUUCCGGCCUUUCGAGCCGGCCACCCGGGUUCAAAUCCCGGCGGGAGCA